rnacentral:rRNA from 1 species
GACGAACGCUGGCGGCGUGCUUAACACAUGCAAGUCGUACGGUAAGGCCCUUUCGGGGGUACACGAGUGGCGAACGGGUGAGUAACACGUGAGUAACCUGCCCACAACUUUGGGAUAACGCUAGGAAACUGGUGCUAAUACUGGAUAUGUGCUCCUGCUGCAUGGUGGGGGUUGGAAAGCUCCGGCGGUUGUGGAUGGACUCGCGGCCUAUCAGCUUGUUGGUGGGGUAGUGGCCUACCAAGGCGGCGACGGGUAGCCGGCCUGAGAGGGUGACCGGCCACAUUGGGACUGAGAUACGGCCCAGACUCCUACGGGAGGCAGCAGUGGGGAAUAUUGCACAAGGGGCGCAAGCCGGAUGCAGCAACGCCGCGUGCGGGAGGACGGCCUUCGGGUUGUAAACCGCUUUCAGCAGGGACGAAGCUUUUUGUGACGGUACCUGCAGAAGAAGCACCGGCUAACUACGUG